UACGUAGGGUGCGAGCGUUAAUCGGAAUUACUGGGCGUAAAGCGUGCGCAGGCGGUUCGUUAAGUUCGUUGUGAAAGCCCCGGGCUCAACCUGGGAACUGCAAUGGAAACUGGCGGGCUUGAAUGCGGCAGAGGGGGGUGGAAUUCCGCGUGUAGCAGUGAAAUGCGUAGAGAUGCGGAGGAACACCAAUAGCGAAGGCAGCUCGCUGGGACGGUAUUGACGCUAAGGCGCGAAAGCGUGGGGAGCAAACAGG
rnacentral:rRNA from 1 species